rnacentral:lncRNA from 1 species
UUAAAAAAAAGAACAAAAAAAACUGGACACGGGUUGGACACGUACGGGGCUCGGGAGGCCCAACUAUGCCUCGGCCCGAUAGGAAUCCCUAUCGAGUAUCGAAGGCAGGUCGCGUUCACGGGUGCCACAGAAGGCGGCACCACAAAAUAGGGUUUCCCACCUUCUGCACUCGUCGUAGCCGCCCCCUCCGUCGCCGCCACCUUCGUCGCCGUAUGGAGUCGCCGCCGCUGCCACCACCAUAUGGAGUCGCCGCUGCCUGGACG